GGUUAAGCGACUAAGCGUACACGGUGGAUGCCCUGGCAGUCAGAGGCGAUGAAGGACGUGCUAAUCUGCGAUAAGCGUCGGUAAGGUGAUAUGAACCGUUAUAACCGGCGAUUUCCGAAUGGGGAAACCCAGUGUGUUUCGACACACUAUCAUUAACUGAAUCCAUAGGUUAAUGAGGCGAACCGGGGGAACUGAAACAUCUAAGUACCCCGAGGAAAAGAAAUCAACCGAGAUUCCCCCAGUAGCGGCGAGCGAACGGGGAGCAGCCCAGAGCCUGAAUCAGUGUGUGUGUUAGUGGAAGCGUCUGGAAAGGCGCGCGAUACAGGGUGACAGCCCCGUACACAAAAAUGCACAUGCUGUGAGCUCGAUGAGUAGGGCGGGACACGUGGUAUCCUGUCUGAAUAUGGGGGGACCAUCCUCCAAGGCUAAAUACUCCUGACUGACCGAUAGUGAACCAGUACCGUGAGGGAAAGGCGAAAAGAACCCCGGCGAGGGGAGUGAAAAAGAACCUGAAACCGUGUACGUACAAGCAGUGGGAGCACGCUUAGGCGUGUGACUGCGUACCUUUUGUAUAAUGGGUCAGCGACUUAUAUUCUGUAGCAAGGUUAACCGAAUAGGGGAGCCGAAGGGAAACCGAGUCUUAACUGGGCGUUAAGUUGCAGGGUAUAGACCCGAAACCCGGUGAUCUAGCCAUGGGCAGGUUGAAGGUUGGGUAACACUAACUGGAGGACCGAACCGACUAAUGUUGAAAAAUUAGCGGAUGACUUGUGGCUGGGGGUGAAAGGCCAAUCAAACCGGGAGAUAGCUGGUUCUCCCCGAAAGCUAUUUAGGUAGCGCCUCGUGAAUUCAUCUCCGGGGGUAGAGCACUGUUUCGGCAAGGGGGUCAUCCCGACUUACCAACCCGAUGCAAACUGCGAAUACCGGAGAAUGUUAUCACGGGAGACACACGGCGGGUGCUAACGUCCGUCGUGAAGAGGGAAACAACCCAGACCGCCAGCUAAGGUCCCAAAGUCAUGGUUAAGUGGGAAACGAUGUGGGAAGGCCCAGACAGCCAGGAUGUUGGCUUAGAAGCAGCCAUCAUUUAAAGAAAGCGUAAUAGCUCACUGGUCGAGUCGGCCUGCGCGGAAGAUGUAACGGGGCUAAACCAUGCACCGAAGCUGCGGCAGCGACGCUUAUGCGUUGUUGGGUAGGGGAGCGUUCUGUAAGCCUGUGAAGGUGUGCUGUGAGGCAUGCUGGAGGUAUCAGAAGUGCGAAUGCUGACAUAAGUAACGAUAAAGCGGGUGAAAAGCCCGCUCGCCGGAAGACCAAGGGUUCCUGUCCAACGUUAAUCGGGGCAGGGUGAGUCGACCCCUAAGGCGAGGCCGAAAGGCGUAGUCGAUGGGAAACAGGUUAAUAUUCCUGUACUUGGUGUUACUGCGAAGGGGGGACGGAGAAGGCUAUGUUGGCCGGGCGACGGUU
rnacentral:rRNA from 1 species